GACGAACGCUGGCGGCGUGCUUAACACAUGCAAGUCGAACGGAAAGGCCCUGCUUUUGUGGGGUGCUCGAGUGGCGAACGGGUGAGUAACACGUGAGUAACCUGCCCGUGACUUUGGGAUAACUUCAGGAAACUGGGGCUAAUACCGGAUAGGAGCUCCUGCUGCAUGGUGGGGGUUGGAAAGUUUCGGCGGUGGGGGUUGGACUCGCGGCUUAUCAGCUUGUUGGUGGGGUAGUGGCUUCCCAAGGCUUUGAGGGGUAGCGGGCCUGAGGGGGUGACGGGCACAUUGGGGCUUGGGUACGGCCCAGACUCCUUCCGGGGGGAAGCAGUGGGGAUUAUGGCCAAUGGGUCGGAGGCCGAUGCAAGCAAGCCGGCGGCGGGGUGACCGGCUUCGGGGUGUAAACCGGCUUCGCUCUGGGCCAAGCCGUGUGUGACGGUAGUGGGUAAAGAAGCACCGGCUAACUACGUG
rnacentral:rRNA from 1 species